GCACUGCUGGGGAGUCCAAAAAUAGGACGAAACGGCCGUCCAGUAU
rfam:Schistosoma margrebowiei strain Zambia genome assembly, scaffold: SMRZ_scaffold0000940